UACGUAGGGCGCAAGCGUUGUCCGGAUUUAUUGGGCGUAAAGAGCGUGUAGGCGGCCAUGCAGGUCCGUUGUGAAAACUCGAGGCUCAACCUCGAGACGCCGAUGGAAACCGCAUGGCUAGAGUCCGGAAGAGGAGAGUGGAAUUCCUGGUGUAGCGGUGAAAUGCGCAGAUAUCAGGAAGAACACCCGUGGCUAAGGCGGCUCUCUAGUACGGUACUGACGCUGAGACGCGAAAGCGUAGGGAGCGAACAGG
rnacentral:rRNA from 1 species